UACGGAGGGGGCUAGCGUUGUUCGGAAUUACUGGGCGUAAAGCGCGCGUAGGCGGCUUUGUAAGUUAGAGGUGAAAGCCCAGGGCUUAACCCUGGAAUUGCCUUUAAGACUGCAUCGCUAGAAUCGUGGAGAGGUGAGUGGAAUUCCCAGUGUAGCGGUGAAAUGCGUAGAUAUUGGGAGGAACACCAGUGGCGAAGGCGGCUCACUGGACCGGUACUGACGCUGAAGCGCGAAAGCGUGGGGAGCAAACGGG
rnacentral:rRNA from 1 species